GACGAACGCUGGCGGCGUGCCUAAUACAUGCAAGUAGAACGCACAGUUUAUACCGUAGCUUGCUACACCAUAGACUGUGAGUUGCGAACGGGUGAGUAACGCGUAGGUAACCUGCCUGGUAGCGGGGGAUAACUAUUGGAAACGAUGGCUAAUACCGCAUAAUAUUAAUUAUUGCAUGAUAAUUAAUUGAAAGGUGCAAUUGCACCACUACCAGAUGGACCUGCGUUGUAUUAGCUAGUAGGUGAGGUAACGGCUCACCUAGGCGACGAUACAUAGCCGACCUGAGAGGGUGAUCGGCCACACUGGGACUGAGACACGGCCCAGACUCCUACGGGAGGCAGCAGUAGGGAAUCUUCGGCAAUGGACGAAAGUCUGACCGAGCAACGCCGCGUGAGUGAAGAAGGUUUUCGGAUCGUAAAGCUCUGUUGUAAGAGAAGAACGGGUGUGAGAGUGGAAAGUUCACACUGUGACGGUAUCUUACCAGAAAGGGACGGCUAACUACGU
rnacentral:rRNA from 1 species